rnacentral:rRNA from 1 species
GAUGAACGCUGGCGGCGUGCCUAAUACUUGCAAGUCGAGCGAACAGACGAGGAGCUUGCUCCUCUGACGUUAGCGGCGGACGGGUGAGUAACACGUGGAUAACCUACCUAUAAGACUGGGAUAACUUCGGGAAACCGGAGCUAAUACCGGAUAAUAUAUUGAACCGCAUGGUUCAAUAGUGAAAGACGGUUUUGCUGUCACUUAUAGAUGGAUCCGCGCCGCAUUAGCUAGUUGGUAAGGUAACGGCUUACCAAGGCAACGAUGCGUAGCCGACCUGAGAGGGUGAUCGGCCACACUGGAACUGAGACACGGUCCAGACUCCUACGGGAGGCAGCAGUAGGGAAUCUUCCGCAAUGGGCGAAAGCUUGACGGAGCAACGCCGCGUGAGUGAUGAAGGUCUUCGGAUCGUAAAACUCUGUCAUUAGGGAAGAACAAAUGUGUAAGUAACUAUGCACGUCUUGACGGUACCUAAUCAGAAAGCCACGGCUAACUACGUG